UACAGAGGUCUCAAGCGUUGUUCGGAUUCAUUGGGCGUAAAGGGUGCGUAGGCGGCGAGGUAAGUCGGAUGUGAAAUCCCGGGGCUCAACCCCGGAACUGCAUUCGAUACUGCUUUGCUAGAGUACUGGAGAGGAGACUGGAAUUUACGGUGUAGCAGUGAAAUGCGUAGAUAUCGUAAGGAAGACCAGUGGCGAAGGCGAGUCUCUGGACAGUUACUGACGCUGAGGCACGAAGGCCAGGGGAGCAAACGGG
rnacentral:rRNA from 1 species